rnacentral:rRNA from 1 species
GCCUGGUAGGUGGGGGACAACGGUUUCGAAAGGAACGCUAAUACCCGCAUACGUCCUACGGGAGAAAGCAGGGGUACCUUCGGGCCUUGCGCUAUCAGAUGAGCCUAGGUCGGAUUAGCUAGUAGGUGAGGUAAUGGCUCACCUAGGCGACGAUCCGUAACUGGUCUGAGAGGAUGAUCAGUCACACUGGAACUGAGACACGGUCCAGACUCCUACGGGAGGCAGCAGUGGGGAAUAUUGGACAAUGGGCGAAAGCCUGAUCCAGCCAUGCCGCGUGUGUGAAGAAGGUCUUCGGAUUGUAAAGCACUUUAAGUUGGGAGGAAGGGCAGUAAGUUAAUACCUUGCUGUUUUGACGUUACCAACAGAAUAAGCACCGGCUAACUUCGUG